UUCCUUUCCGAAAGUAACCACGAAAACCGAGAGGCGGAGCCACUUGUUUUAGUGACGAGAUCGUUGCUCAAUACGACGCAAUCAAACGUCCUUUUGGAAAGAUGGUCCUAUUGGACUCUACGACAUGCAGGACGAUGACCCUGAUAAUGACGAAGCUGGAGAAGACGACGAGCGAGAGCUAAAUGAACUGCAUUAUCAAGCUACCGUCGGUGGGUUACUUUGAAAGGACCCUUUCAUCCAUUGGAAACCAAGCUCAAUGGAGUCACAGGAUUGGGAGCCGCAAAGAGAUUCGGAUUGAUCAAGAUUCGGUCAACUGCAUCCUAUGGACCAAUCUCCCAAUGAUACUCACGACACUUGGGUUGUGCUGGACUGGUGGACUCACUCCAGAUGGAGAAAGAAUCCAGGCCGAUCCACCUCAUGCUUGCCCAAUCAACCGGGCCUGGGCUCCAUUCCUAACCAUGAUGUUCGCUCCUUCUGUGGAAAU